GACGAACGCUGGCGGCGUGCCUAAUACAUGCAAGUCGAGCGGACUUUCAAGAAGCUUGCUUUUUGAAAGUUAGCGGCGGACGGGUGAGUAACACGCGGGCAACCUGCCUGUAAGACGGGGAUAACUCCGGGAAACCGGGGCUAAUACCGGAUAAUAUCUUUCUUCGCAUGAAGGAAGGUUGAAAGGCGGCGCAAGCUGCCGCUUGCAGAUGGGCCCGCGGCGCAUUAGCUAGUUGGUGAGGUAACGGCUCACCAAGGCGACGAUGCGUAGCCGACCUGGGAGGGUGAUCGGCCACACUGGGACUGCGACACGGCCCAGACUCCUACGGGAGGCAGCAGUAGGGAAUCUUCCGCAAUGGACGAAAGUCUGACGGAGCAACGCCGCGUGAGCGAAGAAGGUCUUCGGAUCGUAAAGCUCUGUUGUCAGGGAAGAACAAGUACCGUUCGAAUAGGGCGGUACCUUAACGGUACCUGAUCAGAAAGCCACGGCUAACUACGUGCCAGCCGCCGCCGUAA
rnacentral:rRNA from 1 species